AAUGUGAGCAGCAGCGUGUUCUCGCCUUAUGGCGCCCCCAUUCCGAGAGGGACGGGAAAUCACCCAAAUGCUCAUUUAGUAGGGAUUGGGGAAUGCAAUGGUCCCCAUGAAC
rfam:Anopheles gambiae str. PEST whole genome shotgun sequencing project, whole genome shotgun sequence.